rnacentral:misc_RNA from 1 species
GAUGAAGAACGUAGCGAAAUGCGAUAAGUAGUGUGAAUUGCAGAAUUCAGUGAAUCAUCGAAUCUUUGAACGCACAUUGCGCCCCUUGGUAUUCCAUGGGGCAUGCCUGUUCGAGCGUCAUUUGUACCUUCAAGCUCUGCUUGGUGUUGGGUGUUUGUCUCGCCUCUGCGUGUAGACUCGCCUCAAAACAAUUGGCAGCCGGCGUAUUGAUUUCGGAGCGCAGUACAUCUCGCGCUUUGCACUCAUAACGACGACGUCCAUAAGUACAUUUUUACACUCUUGACCUCGGAUCAGGUAGGGAUACCCGCUGAACUUAAGCAUAUCAAUAAGCGGAGGA